rnacentral:rRNA from 1 species
CUACGGGAGGCAGCAGUGAGGAAUAUUGGUCAAUGGGCGGGAGCCUGAACCAGCCAAGUCGCGUGAAGGAAGAAGGAUCUAUGGUUCGUAAACUUCUUUUGCAGGGGAAUAAAGUGCAGGACGUGUCCUGUUUUGUAUGUACCCUGAGAAUAAGGAUCGGCUAACUCCGUCCCAGCAGCCGCGGUAAUACGGAGGAUCCGAGCGUUAUCCGGAUUUAUUGGGUUUAAAGGGUGCGUAGGUGGUUUGAUAAGUCAGCGGUGAAAGUUUGCAGCUUAACUGUAAAAAUGCCGUUGAAACUGUCGGACUUGAGUGUAAAUGAGGUAGGCGGAAUGCGUGGUGUAGCGGUGAAAUGCAUAGAUAUCACGCAGAACUCCGAUUGAGAAGGCAGCUUAC